UACGUAGGAGACAAACGUUAUCCGGAGUUACUGGGCGUAAAGGGCGUGUAGGUGGUUUCGUAAGUCUGGCGUGAAAUAUCUCGGCUUAACCGAGGCAGGUCGUCGGAUACUGCGGAACUAGAGGACGGUAGAGGCGUGUGGAAUUCCGGGUGUAGUGGUGAAAUGCGUAGAGAUCCGGAGGAACACCAGUGGCGAAGGCGACACGCUGGGCCGUACCUGACACUGAUGCGCGACAGCAUGGGGAGCAAACAGG
rnacentral:rRNA from 1 species